rnacentral:rRNA from 1 species
CCUACGGGCGGCAGCAGUGAGGAAUAUUGGUCAAUGGGCGAAACUCUGAUGCAGCGAAGUCGCGUGAGGGAUGACUUCCCUAUGUGUGGUAAGCUUCUUUUAUAAAGGAAUAAAACGCGGCACGUGUGCCUUGUUGCAUGUCCUUUAUGAUUCAGGCACGGCUAACUCUGUGCCAGCAGCCGCGGUAAUACGGAGGAUCCGAGCGUUAUCCGGAUUUAUUGGGUGUAAAGGGAGCGUAGAUGGAUGUUGAAGUCAGUAGUGAAAGGUUGCGGCGCAACCGUAAAAUUGCAGUUGAUACUGGCAGUCUUGAGUACAGUUGAGGUAGGCGGAAUUCGUGGUGUAGCGGUGAAAUGCUUAGAUAUCACGAAGAACCCCGAUUGCGAAGGCAGCUUACUAAACUGUGACUGACAUUGAUGCUCGAAAGUGUGGGUAGCAAACAGGAUUAGAUACCCCAGUAGUC